rnacentral:rRNA from 1 species
GAUGAACGCUGGCGGCGUGCCUAAUACAUGCAAGUCGAGCGAACAGACGAGGAGCUUGCUCCUCUGACGUUAGCGGCGGACGGGUGAGUAACACGUGGAUAACCUACCUAUAAGACUGGGAUAACUUCGGGAAACCGGAGCUAAUACCGGAUAAUAUAUUGAACCGCAUGGUUCAAUAGUGAAAGACGGUUUUGCUGUCACUUAUAGAUGGAUCCGCGCCGCAUUAGCUAGUUGGUAAGGUAACGGCUUACCAAGGCAACGAUGCGUAGCCGACCUGAGAGGGUGAUCGGCCACACUGGAACUGAGACACGGUCCAGACUCCGACGGGAGGCAGCAGUAGGGAAUCUUCCGCAAUGGGCGAAAGCUUGACGGAGCAACGCCGCGUGAGUGAUGAAGGUCUUCGGAUCGUAAAACUCUGUUAUUAGGGAAGAACAAAUGUGUAAGUAACUAUGCACGUCUUGACGGUACCUAAUCAGAAAGCCACGGCGAACUACGU